CCAAUAGCGUAUAUUAAAGUUGUUGCAGUUAAAAAGCUCGUAGUUGAAUUUCGGGAUCAAUACGUCUGUCGUGCCUUUGGUACGUACGGGUGUAAUUGGUUUCUACCUUCUGAGGAUCCUUGAUGUCAUUAAUUUGGUGUCUUGGGGAAUCAGGACUGUUACCUUGAAAAAAUUAGAGUGUUUAAAGCAGGCAUACGCUUGAAUACAUUAGCAUGGAAUAAUGAAAUAGGACGUUCGAUUCUAUUUUGUUGGUUUCUAGGAUCGACGUAAUGAUUAAUAGGGAUAGUUGGGGGCAUUAGUAUUCAAUUGUCAGAGGUGAAAUUCUUGGAUUUAUUGAAGACUAACUACUGCGAAAGCAUUUGCCAAGGAUGUUUUCAUUAAUCAAGAACGAAAGUUAGGGGAUCGAAGACGAUCAGAUACCGUCGUAGUCUUAACCAUAAACUAUGCCGACUAGGGAUCGGAUGAUGUUAAUUUUUUAAUGACUCAUUCGGCGCCUUAC
rnacentral:rRNA from 1 species